CUCGCGCCUUCUCAGGAGAUGGCGACCAAGCUCCUCAUCCUGCUCGGCCUUCUGGCCGUCGUGUCGCUAGCGGCCGGCGAGAGCGUGCCGGAGCAGUUCUUCUACUGCAAGGAGGGCAGGAGUCCUGUUCCAGGAGUCUAUAGGUGCGACGGUAACAGGGACUGCCGUGACGGCUCCGACGAGGAAGGCUGCGACGCACUGUUGGCAGCUCACGAGGUGGCCCUGCCGCUCAACGCCUCGGCCACGGCCCGCGUGCAGUACGCGAAGGUCCACAACGACAUCGAGGUGCACCUGUGCGGCGACAAGAACUGCAGCGUCGUGAUACUGUGAGGCGAGAGUGCCAACGGCUCGCUGAGAUACGAUACGUUCACGGGCUGCACCCGCUUCGGCAGGCUCGGCAACACCGUCAAGGAAAACAGGGGAAGCGGCCCUGACUUCGCCCCCGGCGAGGUGGUGCUGGAGGUGCAGCACCGGCCCGGGCAGCUCGCCGUGUGGCGGCAGGGCCGGCCGGACGACGUGGUGGAGGUCCCCGUGGAGGCGGACUACGGCACGCUCAGGGUCAGGCCUUUCUACUGGGUCGCCGACAUGCCCGUGCAGUUUACUAGUGGUGCGACGACGGCUAUGUCCAACUCAUGACCCAAUGACGUCCGCCCGGCAGCACCGCGUCCCGACAUCAGUAGUCUCUCUCCAAGAGGUGCACUCUGAUUCCGUGGCUGCAGGAC